AUCAGUAACCAAUUAUUUAAGCCUCCUUCGUGUAGCAAACCGACGGUCAGAUAGGAUGAGCUAAAGGGCCUAGUGAGAGGACGUAAUACCCACUAAGAGAGGUGGGCCCAGGGACUGAGAGUGAACAUGGGGCCCCACUAGAGAUAUGACGGUCGGGGAGUUACAUACAUCUCCACUUGUUGUAUAUUCUUUUCCAUAGUCAUUAGCUGUCGACACCACAUGUCACUUUCUUACAAAAUUAUCAGCAAACUGUAAACCAUUUUUAAAAAGAAUUAGCACAACUUAUGUAUACAGCGAGAAACU
rnacentral:lncRNA from 1 species